rnacentral:rRNA from 1 species
UACGUAGGGUGCAAGCGUUAAUCGGAAUUACUGGGCGUAAAGCGUGCGCAGGCGGUUGUGCAAGACAGAUGUGAAAUCCCCGGGCUUAACCUGGGAAUUGCAUUUGUGACUGCACGGCUAGAGUGUGUCAGAGGGGGGUAGAAUUCCACGUGUAGCAGUGAAAUGCGUAGAGAUGUGGAGGAAUACCGAUGGCGAAGGCAGCCCCCUGGGACACACUGACGCUCAUGCACGAAAGCGUGGGGAGCAAACAGG